CUUAUUUAAUUAAGUUUGUUAACCUUACUUAGUUUAACUAAGUAAUCCCAACUUUUUUCUAUGCAAACUCAAGUCAACUUGAUUAAACUUAACAGAUUAAUUUAGCUCAACUUAAAAUUUCAAGUAUUUUCAAAAAGGAUGACUGCACAGUAGGUGGCAGUAAUGCUCCCAAGGAGUAAGUGGUGGCUUAACUGAGUGGUUAACUGAAGAAGACGACAACAGCACAUGGUCGGAUAAGAGCAUGAGGAGGUAAGUUUGUGCUUAUAUAUCAUUUUUAUUUUUUAAUUGCUACGUUUUUAUCGCAAUAUUACAAUCACAGUUUGUAAACAGUAAUAUUUUGUCGGUAAUAAUAAAACUGAUGCAUGCUAUUUGAUCACAAUUAGCAAUCCAACAACUGCUAAUCAUGUAUGUUUAAAGAUAAACAUUUUCGUUCAACAGACAUAAGUAACUAAUAUGCAGAGGUAGAUUGAGUAAAAAUGUAAUUAUAUAAAAAGUUAGUUAAAGUUAAGCCUUAUAGUAAUAACUGCUUGAGUAAAAGUAUGCAAUGGAAAAACUGCUUAAGUAGUGAGUUUAAAAUUUGUGUUGGUGUGGUUUAUAAUAAUAAACUACGUGAAAAUGCUUAGAACUGCUUAUAAAAGGUAAAAUAGCACAUUUAAAGUAGGUGCUUUCAAAAUUGUUACUCAAGUCAAUGUAAUGCAGUAAGCAUGUUUCUACCCACCUCUGGAGAAAAAAACAUUAAUAAUUUCAUACCUUAAAAUGCCAAGUUAUGUUAAAUAAGAGAUGUGCUGUAUAAAAAGUUUUAAGUUUAUAAAGUGAAUGCUAAAAAUGUUGUUUUUACAGUAUCUAUCAAUCAAUAUACUAUGUUAAUUGUAUAUUAUUAUUAUUUAGCAGGAGCUGGUUUCUUUAAAGAGAACGCAUACCCUUCAUGGAAAGUCAGGUAAUUAACACACAUUUUAUUUAGGGCAUGUCAAAACUUUUUAAAUCUUGAUAUGUUGUUUCUUUUGUUAUCCUUCUUUCAUAUAGUAACGUUACUGUGGAGUACAACCAAGUCGCAAGCAAAAACCUCAAGCAAGAAUUGUUCUCAUCCCUUGCUAAACAUUGUUUUUGAAGAUUUUGAAUGAAACAAAAGUUUAAAAGCUCUCUUGAGUAUCUAAUAAACAGCACUGACGUCAGUGCUCGGUGGACGGUAGUUCUCCGUGGUCUUGCUAAUCUUCUGGCGGAAGACACUACAGACUUCCUGAAAACAAACAUGGACUGUGAUGGUGACCCACCUCAACUAUCAAUAGGAAUUCACAGUCUGGUGCCGGAGGACAGACACAUUUCUCCACAUGGUUUACAGCAAUUAUUUGGUAGGGUGUCACAGCCAUGGAUGGACUUGAGAAAGUAUCACAUGCCAUGUGUUUAGUUUUUGGACUGAUCGUUGUUUUAAAUAUGGAGUACCUCUUCACAGCUUAUUUUGAGUUGAUUCACAGGGUUUUUCUUUCCCUGGGGCACAAAUCACUAAAGUCAAAACUGCCAUCACUACAAAACAUACUAAUGUGAAGUAGUGUGUUUUGUGUGAAACAAGUCCGUGUUACUGUAGAUCUGUUGCAUUUUGGGGUUUUUAUUUUUCGUCAAGCUGGAUACAAGUUCCAGAAAAACUCAACUUUAAUUGCUGCAAAACUUUGAUGUUUUAGUUAAGCUGUAUUUUGCGUGUUUCUGAUGGCAGAAACAAGAUUGUUACUGUACAUCUGUUGAUGCAAUUUGUGAUUUUUUUAUCAGUCACAUGACAACCUGGAUACAAAACCAAAACUGCAGUCACAAAAAAAAACUAGUUUUGAAUUUGUUUGUCAAGGUGUGUUCAUUGUGUUUGUAAUAACAGAAACAAGACUGUCUUAGGUCUAUUGUUGCAUUUUGGGUAUCCAGAUUGAUGGGUGACUGAACACAAACCCCUUUCGUGUGUGUGUGUGUGUGUGUGUGUGUGUGUGUGUGUGUGUGUUGUGUAAAAUGUUUUACUUUGUACACUGUUAACAUGUUUAAAAUAAAUGUUUUAACCUCAUUUUGUUGCUUUUUGGCUUUACUCAUUUUUGUUAGUUCAGCUUACUUACAAAUGUAAGGCAAUCAGUUUCCUUAUAUUUACAAGUAAAGUGAACAAUAAAAAGAAGUUAUCUCAACUAAUGAUUUUAAGUAAAGAGUACUUAACUUUACUUGAUUAAUAAGUUUAGUCUACUUGUACUGUUAAGUUUUGACAACUUAAAAUCAAUACUCUACCUUACUUGAUGAAUAAGUUUAGGCUACAAAUAAUAUAAAGUUUUGCCAACUUAAAAGCAAUACACUAACUUACUUAAAAUUAUGAGGCAAUCAGUUUCCUCACUUUUUUAAGUAAACUCAACUUAUUACAUUUUACAG